rnacentral:rRNA from 1 species
UACGGGGGGGGUAAGCGUUGUUCGGAAUUACUGGGCGUAAAGGGCUCGUAGGCGGCCAACUAAGUCAUACGUGAAAUCCCUCAGCUUAACUGGGGAACUGCGUGUGAUACUGGAUGGCUUGGAUUUGGGAGAGGGAUGCGGAAUUCCAGGUGUAGCGGUGAAAUGCGUAGAUAUCUGGAGGAACACCGGUGGCGAAGGCGGCGAUCUGGGAAGAUACUGACGCUGAGGUGCGAAAGCGUGGGGAGCAAACAGG